GUUAUGUAGGUCGUCGAACAUCCGAUAAAAUUCGAAGGAUAUAGAGAAGAUUAGCAUGGCCCCUACGCAAGGAUGACACACACAAAUCAAAAAAUGGUAUCAAAGCAA